rnacentral:rRNA from 22 species
UCAAGUGAAGAAGCGCAUACGGUGGAUGCCUUGGCAGUCAGAGGCGAUGAAAGACGUGGUAGCCUGCGAAAAGCUUCGGGGAGUCGGCAAACAGACUUUGAUCCGGAGAUCUCUGAAUGGGGGAACCCACCUAGGAUAACCUAGGUAUCUUGUACUGAAUCCAUAGGUGCAAGAGGCGAACCAGGGGAACUGAAACAUCUAAGUACCCUGAGGAAAAGAAAUCAACCGAGAUUCCCUUAGUAGUGGCGAGCGAACGGGGAUUAGCCCUUAAGCUUCAUUGAUUUUAGCGGAACGCUCUGGAAAGUGCGGCCAUAGUGGGUGAUAGCCCCGUACGCGAAAGGAUCUUUGAAGUGAAAUCGAGUAGGACGGAGCACGAGAAACUUUGUCUGAACAUGGGGGGACCAUCCUCCAAGGCUAAAUACUACUGACUGACCGAUAGUGAACCAGUACCGUGAGGGAAAGGCGAAAAGAACCCCGGAGAGGGGAGUGAAAUAGAACCUGAAACCGUAUGCGUACAAGCAGUGGGAGCCUACUUGUUAGGUGACUGCGUACCUUUUGUAUAAUGGGUCAGCGACUUAUAUUCAGUGGCAAGCUUAACCGUAUAGGGUAGGCGUAGCGAAAGCGAGUCUUAAUAGGGCGUUUAGUCGCUGGGUAUAGACCCGAAACCGGGCGAUCUAUCCAUGAGCAGGUUGAAGGUUAGGUAACACUGACUGGAGGACCGAACCCACUCCCGUUGAAAAGGUAGGGGAUGACUUGUGGAUCGGAGUGAAAGGCUAAUCAAGCUCGGAGAUAGCUGGUUCUCCUCGAAAGCUAUUUAGGUAGCGCCUCAUGUAUCACUCUGGGGGGUAGAGCACUGUUUCGGCUAGGGGGUCAUCCCGACUUACCAAACCGAUGCAAACUCCGAAUACCCAGAAGUGCCGAGCAUGGGAGACACACGGCGGGUGCUAACGUCCGUCGUGAAAAGGGAAACAACCCAGACCGCCAGCUAAGGUCCCAAAGUUGUGGUUAAGUGGUAAACGAUGUGGGAAGGCUUAGACAGCUAGGAGGUUGGCUUAGAAGCAGCCACCCUUUAAAGAAAGCGUAAUAGCUCACUAGUCGAGUCGGCCUGCGCGGAAGAUGUAACGGGGCUCAAACCACACACCGAAGCUGCGGGUGUCACGUAAGUGACGCGGUAGAGGAGCGUUCUGUAAGCCUGUGAAGGUGAGUUGAGAAGCUUGCUGGAGGUAUCAGAAGUGCGAAUGCUGACAUGAGUAACGACAAUGGGUGUGAAAAACACCCACGCCGAAAGACCAAGGGUUCCUGCGCAACGUUAAUCGACGCAGGGUUAGUCGGUUCCUAAGGCGAGGCUGAAAAGCGUAGUCGAUGGGAAACAGGUUAAUAUUCCUGUACUUCUGGUUACUGCGAUGGAGGGACGGAGAAGGCUAGGCCAGCUUGGCGUUGGUUGUCCAAGUUUAAGGUGGUAGGCUGAAAUCUUAGGUAAAUCCGGGGUUUCAAGGCCGAGAGCUGAUGACGAGUCGUCUUUUAGAUGACGAAGUGGUUGAUGCCAUGCUUCCAAGAAAAGCUUCUAAGCUUCAGGUAACCAGGAACCGUACCCCAAACCGACACAGGUGGUCGGGUAGAGAAUACCAAGGCGCUUGAGAGAACUCGGGUGAAGGAACUAGGCAAAAUGGCACCGUAACUUCGGGAGAAGGUGCGCCGGCUAGGGUGAAGGAUUUACUCCGUAAGCUCUGGCUGGUCGAAGAUACCAGGCCGCUGCGACUGUUUAUUAAAAACACAGCACUCUGCAAACACGAAAGUGGACGUAUAGGGUGUGACGCCUGCCCGGUGCCGGAAGGUUAAUUGAUGGGGUUAGCGCAAGCGAAGCUCUUGAUCGAAGCCCCGGUAAACGGCGGCCGUAACUAUAACGGUCCUAAGGUAGCGAAAUUCCUUGUCGGGUAAGUUCCGACCUGCACGAAUGGCGUAACGAUGGCGGCGCUGUCUCCACCCGAGACUCAGUGAAAUUGAAAUCGCUGUGAAGAUGCAGUGUAUCCGCGGCUAGACGGAAAGACCCCGUGAACCUUUACUGUAGCUUUGCACUGGACUUUGAGCCUGCUUGUGUAGGAUAGGUGGGAGGCUUUGAAGCGUGGACGCCAGUUCGCGUGGAGCCAUCCUUGAAAUACCACCCUGGCAUGCUUGAGGUUCUAACUCUGGUCCGUAAUCCGGAUCGAGGACAGUGUAUGGUGGGCAGUUUGACUGGGGCGGUCUCCUCCUAAAGAGUAACGGAGGAGUACGAAGGUGCGCUCAGACCGGUCGGAAAUCGGUCGUAGAGUAUAAAGGCAAAAGCGCGCUUGACUGCGAGACAGACACGUCGAGCAGGUACGAAAGUAGGUCUUAGUGAUCCGGUGGUUCUGUAUGGAAGGGCCAUCGCUCAACGGAUAAAAGGUACUCCGGGGAUAACAGGCUGAUACCGCCCAAGAGUUCAUAUCGACGGCGGUGUUUGGCACCUCGAUGUCGGCUCAUCACAUCCUGGGGCUGAAGCCGGUCCCAAGGGUAUGGCUGUUCGCCAUUUAAAGUGGUACGCGAGCUGGGUUUAGAACGUCGUGAGACAGUUCGGUCCCUAUCUGCCGUGGACGUUUGAGAUUUGAGAGGGGCUGCUCCUAGUACGAGAGGACCGGAGUGGACGAACCUCUGGUGUUCCGGUUGUCACGCCAGUGGCAUUGCCGGGUAGCUAUGUUCGGAAAAGAUAACCGCUGAAAGCAUCUAAGCGGGAAACUUGCCUCAAGAUGAGAUCUCACUGGGAACUUGAUUCCCCUGAAGGGCCGUCGAAGACUACGACGUUGAUAGGCUGGGUGUGUAAGCGUUGUGAGGCGUUGAGCUAACCAGUACUAAUUGCCCGUGAGGCUUGACCAU